UACGUAGGGGGCAAGCGUUGUCCGGAAUCACUGGGCGUAAAGCGUGCGUAGGCGGUCGCGUGUGUCUGGGGUGAAAGUCCAGGGCUCAACUCUGGGAUUGCCUUGGAAACUGCGUGACUUGAGUGCUGGAGAGGCAAGGGGAAUUCCGCGUGUAGCGGUGGAAUGCGUAGAUAUGCGGAGGAAUACCAGUGGCGAAGGCGCCUUGCUGGACAGUGACUGACGCUGAGGCACGAAAGCGUGGGGAGCAAACAGG
rnacentral:rRNA from 1 species